GGCUUUUUGAAUCCGUGCCGAGAUUUCGUCAGACACCAAACUAUCAGUACUGAUGAGACUUUCACGAUAAGUGAGACA
rfam:Schistosoma mansoni, Puerto Rico, WGS project CABG01000000 data, contig: 0142